GCUUUAAACCCGACAGCACCCACNUUAUUUAACACCUUCUUAUCCGCCUGGCCCCUGUCUGCUCGGUUUUGGGUUGGGGUGACCGCGGAGCAUAAAAUAGCCUCCACGAAAGAAGGGAUGAUUCCCUCAUUUUAGAACUACACUUCCAAAGACUAACAAAUUAAUUUUAAGUGAUCCGAUACCCGUAUUCGAUCAACGAACCAAGUUACCCUGGGGAUAACAGCGCAAUCUACCUCAAGAGCCCCUAUCGACAGGUGGGUUUACGACCUCGAUGUUGGAUCAGGGUAUC
rnacentral:rRNA from 1 species